CGACGCUCUUCGGAUCGGUUUGAUAUUCUAAGGCAGCGAUCGAACAAGGAUAUGGCGACAGAUUUUUUGUGUUUGAUGGGAUGGUGUGAGUUGAAAUGAAUGUAUCUCCCAGACCAGGUUGGUUUAUGGUGCCAAUCUAAGAUUAUGGUGUCAUUGUGUUUGAUUACCAUAGUGUCUAAAAAACUGAUUUUACCAUCUUUUUCCAACUCGAAGGUGAAUUGGAUACGUGGGUGAAAGUUGUUAAAUUUAUUAAGAAGGAGUUGUAGAUUUUCGUUUUUGACACACGUUAAAAUAUCAUCGACGUACCGAUAGUAAAAAGGUAGGCUGAAGGGAAGAUUUGAAAUGAUUUUUUUUUCAAAAUGUUCGAGUACCAGAUUCGCUACUACUGGGCUAAUCGGUGAGCCCAUUGCUACGCCAAAAAUUUGUUGGUAGAAAUUAUCUUUGUAGGCGAAAUAGCAUGAAUCUAAACACAGUUUGGUGGCGGCUAGGAAUUCUUUUUUGUUAAUGUUAGUGUGACAUUUCAAAUUGGGCCAGUUUUUACUGAUGAUCGAUAUUGCUAGUUUAGUUGGAAUGUUGGUAAACAGUGAUUUGACAUCUAGGGAUACUAACAGGUGAUCAGGCGGAAUUGUUUUUCCCCUGAUUUUGUUUACAAAGGACCAAGUGUCCUUGAUGUGAUAGUCUGAUGUACCUGUUAUGUUUGAUAAGACACAAGAA